rnacentral:lncRNA from 1 species
AUGAGGGGGGAUAAACGAAGUGGAUAUCGCGCCAGUGUGAAAUUGAUCGCUCCCGAAAUUAUAUUUUUGACGGUGGAGGGAUUUGAGAAUAAAGGUUGCCAAAUUUAACCAACUCUUCAACAUCGUGAUGGAUCGCAGUGAUGGGGGCGGAGGCGGAAGCGAUUGACGAGGCCCUUUGCGAGUACCAAACGCUCAAUGGUGGAAGAUUUACGCACAUGUCAGCCUGACAUAUACUAAGAAAGCAUCCUAGUUGGUUUAAAUAUCAAUUAUGUGUUUGUUUAAUAUCAAAUAUGUAUUGGUU